rnacentral:lncRNA from 1 species
ACAUUACUCCAACACAAGCAUAUUGGAUUUACACUGUGACUGGGCCGCAUUUAUUUAUAGUUAAUAGUUUGUAGCCAUUUUUUUUCUUCCCAUAAGGAAUUGCGGAUUUUGAUUUCCCACUUUUUGUGCAUUCUUGAGGAUGGUGUCUUAUUCUCCAGCGAUAUUUUCUUUCCCUUUCUCAAUAAUAUUUCCGUUUCUAUCGAAACUAAAUGAAUAUUCAAGCAAUCUCCUUUUAUGGUGCGCAUCAAGGAGAAGGCUAUGGGAUUAGGCUUCUAUCUUAUUUGGCUUCCUGUGGGUAUGAGUGGUUUUAUCAAGAAAGCUCCUUUCUUUGGAGGGUAUUGAAGCUGCCAAGGACAAGAACAAUUACUGGCGCUUAUUCCUCAUUUCAUUUUCAGAAAUAUAUGGCUAGAAAUGAAUAAAGAUAUUUGCUGGUCAUGUUUCUAGCUUUUGUAGAAUCAAUGAGUUUGGUUUCUGACCCUAUUGAUUUUGUUUCUGUCUCUCCUCUCCUCUCCUUGUGCUUGGUGGCACCAAUAUAAGUUAUAUG